CCCCCGGACGCACCCGCCAGCCGCCGGCGCGCCCCGCUCGGAGCCCGAGGCCUCGCCCAUCUGGACAGAGUUUGUAAUUCUCUGCUGUUCCCAAAUAAACUCAUAUUUGCUGGUAAAAUAAAAGCCUGGAGCAAAGAGAAGGCAAUAUUUCAGCUCUCCAUCCGGCCUAUGACAGAGAGAGAGGCGGAGACCCAGGCAGAGGGAGAAGCAGGCUCCAUGCAGGGAGCCCGAUGCAGGAGCAAUCCUAGGACUCCAGGAUCACACCCUGAGCCAAAGGCAGAUGCUCAACCACGGAGCCACCCAGGCGUCCCAUGUUCCUAGCACCUCCUGCACUUAGACUCUUAGUCUUUAGGUUGGAAGAAUUACAGCUGGAAGGAGCCUGAGUUACUAAAUCACUGAGUGGAGGAAAGCCACCUGCUAAUCAGGCACAGCUUCGUUGGAAUAGCUAUGUGGGUGAGAAAGAAAACUCUGGAAUUGUGGGGUUUAUUUGUUACAGCAUAACCCUGACAAAUAGAAUGGCAUUCUUUUGAGUGCUAGUAAGUUUGACAGCAUACUCAGAAAGCUUAAGUUGCACACAUAAGAAUUACACUAUUACGCUUAUUGCACUUCAGCGUUGUGGCACUUUGAGAAGAACCAGAUUUCCUCCCUGAGACUCUCUUAGAUACUCAUGAGGCAUAGUUCUCGUAGGUCUGGCAAAUGGAUCCAUCUCUUUCUUUUUCUUUUUCUUUUUCUCUUUCUUUCUUUCUU